rnacentral:rRNA from 1 species
UACGUAGGGUGCGAGCGUUGUCCGGAAUUAUUGGGCGUAAAGAGCUUGUAGGCGGUCUGUCGCGUCUGCUGUGAAAACCCGGGGCUCAACUCCGGGCCUGCAGCCGAUACGGGCAGACUAGAGUUCGGCAGGGGAGACUGGAAUUCCUGGUGUAGCGGUGAAAUGCGCAGAUAUCAGGAGGAACACCGGUGGCGAAGGCGGGUCUCUUGGCCGAUACUGACGCUGAGGAGCGAAAGCGUGGGGAGCGAACAGG